GACGAGGUAUGCAAGCGGAUCAGACGGUCAUCAGUCUCAGGCCCGGCGGCGGAGGAGGCGGAAAUCGAGGUAGCAGACUCCUCGGCUCCCGCUUCGACUCCCUCGUCCUCGCCGGCGCAGGCGGCGCCAGCGGCGGCGGCUCCGAUCUCCCCGCUCUACGGCCCCAUGGCGGCACCGGCUCUGCGCUUCACCUCCCGACUGGUGAUUCACUGUUCGAGACUCGUGAACGUAUUCGGUAUACAAGGGAUCAACUUUUACAACUUCGCGAGUUUUCAAAGGUUGCCGAGGUUUCCGAAGAUAUCCUGAUAGUUAAGCAUGAAAUUGA
rnacentral:misc_RNA from 1 species